rnacentral:rRNA from 1 species
GUGGGGAAUUUUGGACAAUGGGCGCAAGCCUGAUCCAGCAAUGCCGCGUGUGUGAAGAAGGUCUUCGGAUUGUAAAGCACUUUAAGUUGGGAGGAAGGGCAUUAACCUAAUACGUUAGUGUUUUGACGUUACCGACAGAAUAAGCACCGGCUAACUUCGUGCCAGCAGCCGCGGUAAUACGAAGGGUGCAAGCGUUAAUCGGAAUUACUGGGCGUAAAGCGCGCGUAGGUGGUUCGUUAAGUUGGAUGUGAAAGCCCCGGGCUCAACCUGGGAACUGCAUCCAAAACUGGCGAGCUAGAGUACGGUAGAGGGUGGUGGAAUUUCCUGUGUAGCGGUGAAAUGCGUAGAUAUAGGAAGGAACACCAGUGGCGAAGGCGACCACCUGGACUGAUACUGACACUGAGGUGCGAAAGCGUGGGGAGCAAACAGGAUUAGAAACCCUAGUAGUCC